UACGUAGGGGGGCAAGCGUUUGUCCGGAAUCAUUGGGCGUAAAGCGCGCGUAGGCGGCCCGGUAAGUCCGUUGUGAAAGUCAAAGGCUCAACCUUUGAACGCCGAUGGAUACUGCCGGGCUAGAGUCCGGAAGAGGCGAGUGGAAUUCCUGGUGUAGCGGUGGAAUGCGCAGAUAUCAGGAGGAACACCAAUAGCGAAGGCAGCUCGCUGGGACGGUACUGACGCUAAGGCGCGAAAGCGUGGGGAGCGAACAGG
rnacentral:rRNA from 1 species